AAAAUAACAUUUUACUUUUCCCUUUUAUUCUAAAGUUCAUUUGGGAUUGAGGGAUGAUUGUGUUACGUGUAGUGAGAAACCACAAUAGAAAAAUACUCUAUUUGCUUCUUCUACAUAUAAUAUUAUAUUGCGCAUAUCGCAAUGAGUUAAUUAUAAUACAUAUAUUGCGGUCCCAUCGAGAAACGGACAAAGAAUUUUCUAUAUACUUUUUCUCCAACUCUAUUUUACUUAACAACAUUAAAUGACACUCAACACCAAUAGAGCCCUAUAUUUAUCGUAAAUAAAUUAAUAAACCAGAC
rnacentral:lncRNA from 1 species